rnacentral:tmRNA from 1 species
GGGGCCGCCCUGGUUUUGACAGCAUAGGUCUUUGAGAGUGUAAGCAUGUCGUGCGUUGGAUAAUUAGCACGUUAAUCUGAAUAUUCAAACACUAAAUGGCAAUACUCAGUAUGCCAUGGCUGCCUAAUCAGUGAUUAAGUAGUCAUUAGGGCCGCGUUGAGCAGGUUGUUCUGUUACCAAGCUCCGCCGCCGACUAAAAACCAAACACAGAAUGCUGUAGCGGAAGGCUGUGACCGCUGCAAAAGACUAUCCAGCUAAGGAACAGAUUGGUUUGUUGGUCCCCUGCCUGUUCCCGACAAUUAAUGAUCAAAUAAACAUGUAGAAAGCUUUUGGAGAAUAUGUUUGGACAGGGGUUCGACUCCCCUCGGCUCCACUU